CUGGCUCAGGAUGAACGCUGACAGAAUGCUUAACACAUGCAAGUCGACUUGAAGCAACUUCGGUUGUGGAAAGUGGCGGACGGGUGAGUAACGCGUAAAGAACUUGCCCUUCAGUCUGGGACAACCAUUGGAAACGAUGGCUAAUACCGGAUAUUAUGGAACUCUCGCAUGGGAGGAUCAUGAAAGCUAUAUGCGCUGAAGGAGAGCUUUGCGUUCCAUUAGCUAGUUGGUGAGGUAACGGCUCACCAAGGCGACGAUGGAUAGCCGGCCUGAGAGGGUGAUCGGCCACAAGGGGACUGAGACACGGCCCUUACUCCUACGGGAGGCAGCAGUGGGGAAUAUUGGACAAUGGACCAAAAGUCUGAUCCAGCAAUUCUGUGUGCACGAUGAAGGUUUUCGGAUCGUAAAGUGCUUUCAGUUGGGAAGAAGAAAGUGACGGUACCAACAGAAGAAGCGACGGCUAAAUACGUGCCAGCAGCCGCGGUAAUACGUAUGUCGCAAGCGUUAUCCGGAUUUAUUGGGCGUAAAGCGCGUCUAGGCGGGUUCAUAAGUCUGAUGUUAAAAUGCGGGGCUCAACUCCGUAUUGCGUUGGAAACUGUGAACCUAGAGUAUCAGAGAGGUGGGCGGAACUACAAGUGUAGAGGUGAAAUUCGUAGAUAUUUGUAGGAAUGCCGAUGGAGAAGUCAGCUCACUGGAUGAAUACUGACGCUAAAGCGCGAAAGCGUGGGUAGCAAACAGGAUUAGAUACCCUGGUAGUCCACGCCGUAAACGAUGAUCACUAGGUGUUGGGGGUCGAACCUCAGCGCCCAAGCUAACGCGAUAAGUGAUCCGCCUGGGGAGUACGCACGCAA
rnacentral:rRNA from 1 species